CUGGCUCAGGAUGAACGCUAGCUACAGGCUUAACACAUGCAGGUCGAGGGGUAGCAGGGUAGCAAUACCGCUGACGACCGGCGCACGGGUGAGUAACACGUAUCCAACCUUCCCAUAACUCAGGGAUAGCCUUUCGAAAGAAAGAUUAAUACCUGAUAGUACUUUUUCAAGGCAUCUUGAGAAAGUUAAAGAUUUAUUGGUUAUGGAUGGGGAUGCGUUCCAUUAGAUAGUUGGUGAGGUAACGGCUCACCAAGUCUUCGAUGGAUAGGGGUUCUGAGAGGAAGGUCCCCCACAUUGGUACUGAGACACGGACCAAACUCCUACGGGAGGCAGCAGUGAGGAAUAUUGGUCAAUGGGCGAGAGCCUGAACCAGCCAAGUAGCGUGAAGGAAUGAAGGUCCUAUGGAUUGUAAACUUCUUUUAUAGUAGAAUAAAGUGAUCCACGUGUGGAUUUUUGUAUGUAUACUAUGAAUAAGGAUCGGCUAACUCCGUGCCAGCCGCGGC
rnacentral:rRNA from 1 species